GAUGAACGCUGGCGGCGUGCCUAAUACAUGCAAGUCGAGCGAACAGAUGAGAAGCUUGCUUCUCUGUUGUUAGCGGCGGACGGGUGAGUAACACGUGGGUAACCUACCUAUAAGACUGGGAUAACUCCGGGAAACCGGGGCUAAUACCGGAUAAUAUUCUGAACCGCAUGGUUCAAUAGUGAAAGACGGUUUCGGCUGUCUCUUAUAGAUGGACACGGGCCGUAUUAGCUAGUUGGUAAGGUAACGGCUUACCAAGGCGACGAUACGUAGCCGACCUGAGAGGAUGAUCGGCCACACUGGAACUGAGACACGGUCCAGACUCCUACGGGAGGCAGCAGUAGGGAAUCUUCCGCAAUGGGCGAAAGCCUGACGGAGCAACGCCGCGUGAGUGAUGAAGGUCUUCGGAUCGUAAAACUCUGUUGUUAGGGAAGAACAAAUUUGUUAGUAACUGAACAAGUCUUGACGGUACCUAACCAGAAAGCCACGGCUAACUACGUGCCAGCAGCCGCGGUAA
rnacentral:rRNA from 1 species